rnacentral:rRNA from 1 species
UACGAAGGGGGCUAGCGUUGUUCGGAAUUACUGGGCGUAAAGGGCGCGUAGGCGGUACUUCAAGUCAGGCGUGAAAGCCCCGGGCUCAACCUGGGAACCGCGCUUGAGACUGGAGAACUAGAGUUCGGGAGAGGAUGGUGGAAUUCCCAGUGUAGAGGUGAAAUUCGUAGAUAUUGGGAAGAACACCGAUGGCGAAGGCAGCCAUCUGGACCGACACUGACGCUGAGGCGCGAAAGCGUGGGGAGCAAACAGGAUUAGAUACCCUGGUAGUCCACGCCGUAAACGAUGAGUGCUAGACGUUGGGGCUCUCAGAGCUUCGGUGUCGCAGCUAACGCAUUAAGCACUCCGCCUGGGGAGUACGGCCGCAAGGUUAAA